GAUGAACGCUGGCGGCGCGCCUAACACAUGCAAGUCGAACGAUUAAAGCACCUUCGGGUGUGUAUAAAGUGGCGAACGGCUGAGUAACACGUGGGCAACCUGCCCCUUUCAUUGGGAUAGCCACGGGAAACCGUGGAUAAUACCGAAUACUUCGAGACUUCCGCAUGGAAGACUCGAGAAAGCUCCGGCGGAGAGGGAUGGGCCCGCGGCCUGUUAGCUUGUUGGUGGGGUAACGGCCUACCAAGGCAAUGAUGGGUAGCUGGGUUGAGAGACCGACCAGCCAGAUGGGGACUGAGACACGGCCCAGACUCCUACGGGAGGCAGCAGUGGGGAAUCUUGCACAAUGGGCGAAAGCCUGAUGCAGCGACGCCGCGUGCGGGAUGAAGGCCUUCGGGUUGUAAACCGCUUUCAGCAGGGACGAGGCGAAAGUGACGGUACCUGCAGAAGAAGCCCCGGCUAACUACGUG
rnacentral:rRNA from 1 species